CGCACGAGCGCACCCCNUAUCCNUUAUUUGCCAGCACGUAAUGGGUGGGAACUCUAGGGAANACUGCCGGUGAUAAACCGGAGGAAGGUGGGGACGACGUCAAGUCAUCAUGGCCCUUACGAGUAGGGCUACACACGUGCUACAAUGGCGUAUACAGAGGGUUGCAAAGCCGCGAGGUGGAGCUAAUCUCACAAAGUACGUCGUAGUCCGGAUCGGAGUCUGCAACUCGACUCCGUGAAGUCGGAAUCGCUAGUAAUCGUGGAUCAGAAUGCCACGGUGAAUACGUUCCCGGGCCUUGUACACACCGCCCGUCACACCAUGGGAGUGGGCUGCAAAAGAAGUGGGUAGUUUAACCUUCGGGAGAACGCUCACCACUUUGUGGUUCAUGACUGGGGUGAAGUCGUAACAAGGUAGCCCUAGGGGAACCUGGGGCUGGAUCACCUCCUU
rnacentral:rRNA from 1 species